UCUCUGGUGGUCCAGGGGCUAAGACUCUGCGCUCCCAGUGCAGAGGGUCUGAGUUCGAUCCCUGGUCAGAGAA
rnacentral:tRNA from 1 species